rnacentral:piRNA from 1 species
UAGUUAGGUUUCGUUUUCCUGAGAGUGACGU